rnacentral:rRNA from 1 species
UACGUAGGGGGCAAGCGUUGUCCGGAGUUACUGGGCGUAAAGCGCACGCAGGCGGUCCGGUACGUUUCCGGUGACAGUGGAGGGCUUAACUCUCCAAGACUCGGGAAAACGGUCGGACUUGAGGACCAGAGAGGGACCUGGAAUUCCGGGUGGAGUGGUGAAAUGCGUAGAGAUCCGGAGGAACACCAAAGGCGAAGGCAGGGUCCUGGCUGGUACCUGACGCUCAGGUGCGAAAGCGAGGGGAG